rnacentral:lncRNA from 1 species
CCAGCAGCAAGCUACCACAGAAAAAAAGCAUAUGUCCUCUUUCAAAAGAAAAAUCUGCCUUUUUACAGCUACAGAGAAUUGAAAGCAAACUUGAUCAUCAAAUGUGGAGUUGUGCCAAAUCACAGGCAGCCAGAAGAAAGCUCUGGCAUGAAGAAAGCUCUGAAGGUGAGAAGAAUGGAGAUGAAACAGCUUGGAAUGAGAAAAAGAGCAACGAGAUUCCUCCAGCCUGCAGGGGAAACUGUGCCACCCUGUCUCCUGCUUGGUCGCAGGCCUGUUUCUCCGAGAGCGCUGCUGCGAGCUCUGGCUCGUCCAGAACGACGCCUCUCUCCCACGAGGGACACUCGCUGUCAGCACCCUCCACUCCUACUGGGAGGGAAGCUGAGGAUGGAGAAGGCACAGCUGGCACAUGGUCUCCUGCAAAGAGCCUGUACUCACCAAGAAUGGACAACUUCAGGGACCACACAAAUUCAAGGAGGAGUCAAAUAGUACAAAUGGGAAAACCUCCCUGCUCUCUGCAUCACCCAUCCCAUUCCCCUGCAGGGAGCAGUCCGCUCUCUGCUGUGGCACCCGGCAGUGGGAGCAAUGAUCCUGUGCCCACGGCAGUGCUGCUUCCCACGUGCUGCCUUCCACCAGGCAGCAGGCCCAGCGAUUGCAAGCUGGAGGAGGCAUGGAAAAAAUCACCCAAGCAGAAAUUAGAGCAGCUCAAGGAGAGAAUCCGGGAGCAGAAGCAACACCAGCAAGCGGCAGCUCAGGAGCAGAAGUGCCUGAAUGCCACCUAUGCCAAGGAGCCACGGCAAAAGCGAAUGGUGCGCAAAGUUGUUUCUGCUCCUCCUGCUCCAGCUUACAGAGGUUUUAGUGCUGCGAGUCUGAGGUCUGCUCUUUUCUUGCCUGAUGAAGCGCGUGGAAUACCACAGAGAGAAGAAUUUAGCAUGCCUGGAGGACAGCGAGGUUAUAAAAAAGCCCUCAAGAUCCCAGAGCCUGGUAGAGGAUUGGUAGCAAUGCCAGCGAUGGAACAGAGCUAUAGAGAAAGGGGAAAUGAACCUCUGGGGAAAAGCCCUGAAUUCAAAAGCUGCAUGGUACCCCCCCGCACGCCUGUUGAAAGGGGCAGAAAUACACCAGGCGAGGAUACAAAGCAAAUACUCAGGAACCUACAUCUGCAAAGCAAACAUCAUGAUGAACACAGAAAUGCCAGGCUCCCAAAAGAUACUGCAAAAGGAAAGCUAGAAGAUCUGCAGCAGUGCAUAGGGAUCAAUUCUCCUUCACCUGGAGUUCAGGUCAUGACUCCCUCUGCCUUCAGUGGAGAAAAGACGAGAUCUUCAUUAAUGAGAGCUGAAACUGAGUACAGAAACUGCAGCAGAGGAAAUAGCACAUCUCCUCAAAGACAGAAAGGCUCAAGGAGCCCGGCACAGAAAGAGUCUGAAAAGGAAAAUCUUAAUCACCCUUCAAGGAGGAGGGCAAACAUGAAAAAACCUCACCC